rnacentral:lncRNA from 1 species
GUUUUUGGUGGGGUUCGUGUUAGUUAUUCUUUAGUUUUCUAUGUUGUGUCAUGUGUACUAUUGUUUUUCUGUUUGUCUUUUUCAUUUUUAGCCAUGGCGUUGUCAGUUUGUUUUAGAUUUAUGAGUUUGACUGUCCCUUUGGUAUCUUUCGUCCCUCUUUCAGUAUUAAUUGAAUGUAUUGUUUAUAAAAACUACCGACAGAG